rnacentral:sRNA from 1 species
AAGGUAAAAUUUCCCACUGCGAAGCAGGCAGUGAUGCUGCGGCAGCUUCGCGCUAUGGCUGCUGCCGACCGCCAGGCGCUGCUACAGUGGAUGCGAACUACCGGUAAGUAUGCAGCAACAGCCCGAACCCACAGUUCACCUUGGUGCAUUCCUUUAUGACGAAGACUUAUUGAUUCAUUAUAUGAGAAAGGAAAAAUGAGCAGGAACUACUAUAUGAUGUGCAGCUCACACCAGACAGCGCCUUUAGGAUUAUCUUUCCAGUUCAGCAGUGCAAGUCUAUGGAGUAGAAUUGAAAGGAGACUUUCGCCAGUUGCAGGAAAUGGUCAUAAAAAAAUACCUGUUCACUGACAGAAUAAAGGUAACUUUUAACUUAGCCAAAUCUCUUUUGCAUUGUUUUCCAAUCUGUUCUUGGUUGCCAUUGUAUAGAAAAAGAUUGAAUUCUCUUAAAUAUUUUAAAACAUUAAUAGAGAUGAAUUGUUGUAAUUAUAUCCUAUUCACAUAUUUCUCUCUUCCCUAAUUUUAUUGGAAAGUAAAAUUGUUUGAAUUGUCUUCCUACCAGAUACAGUUUUGGUAGCAGCA